rnacentral:rRNA from 1 species
UGCAGAAUCCCGUGAACCAUCGAGUCUUUGAACGCAAGUUGCGCCCCAAGCCUUCUGGCCGAGGGCACGUCUGCCUGGGUGUCACAAACCGUCGUCCCUUCUCAUCCUCAAAAGAUGUGGGACGGAAGCUGGUCUCCCGUGUGUUACCGCACGCGGUUGGCCAAAAUCCGAGCUAAGGACGUCAAGAGCGUCACGACAUGCGGUGGUGAACUAAAUCCUCUUCGUAUAGUCGGUCGUUCUUGUCCGUAUGCUCUCGAUGACCCAAAGUCCACAAAGCGACCCCAGGUCAGGCGGGAUCACCCGCUGAGUUUAAGCAUAUCAAUAAGCGGAGGAGAAGAAACUAACAAGGAUUCCCUUAGUAGCGGCGAGCGAACCGGGAAGAGCCCAGCUUGAAAAUCGAAUGUCUUUGGCAUUCGA